CACAAAUAAGAGCUGUCGACAGAAGCUAGCAAAUGUGACGUGGAUAUUCAUCACCUGCGUUUCAAAUGCAGCAGAAAAAGGAAUGAAGGCUUCUGUCGUGGCAUCUGGCCUUAUCGCCUCUUUGUUCUAGAUAUGCUAUCAAAUUCAAGAAUUCAGCCCAGUUAUUAAGGGGAUACUGGAUGUCAUACAGUAGUCAUGGAGAAGAAGGCAAAUGCAUCCCCUGGGCUGAGGGAGCCCUUUCGUAACCCAGUGGUCUUUGCUUAAUUGUGGCAAUGAGCAACAAAAUGUUGACAGUGAAAGGCUAUCUUGAAG
rnacentral:lncRNA from 1 species